GCAUAAAACUAAUCUUCGAUUGCUUUCAUCUUGUUAUUUAACUAUCGUUUACAAUUAAAUAUAUAUUAUGUACACGCUUGUAAAAUUUUACGACAAUGUACAUUAUGUGUGUCCUUCAACUCCUUCAAGCAAUGUUUUUAAUACUAAAAGUCGAGGUAUAAAAGCAAAAUAUAGCAAUGGAGUUUGCUAUCCCGCAGAUGUUAUUGCCAAAAAUGAUGAUAAAUAUCUCUUGAAAACAAUUUGUUCAAAUACUAACUUAAACCUAUAUACGAUUAGUAAAUACCUUUGUCUCUGUUUCUGUCUCUGAAUUUUUAAAGAAUAAUUACCAAAGAAACAUUCUUACAUCUCAUAAUUGAGUACACAUAAUGAGGAGAUUGCUAAUCAAGACUAUAGUUAUACAAUAGACAUUGAAGAAGAUUUAUCUUUUGUAAAUAUUAUCAAAAAGAAAACCUGUGAUGAUGAAAAUAAUCAAACUAAGAUAGAUGUCGACUUUUUAGAAAAGUCUGAUUGCGAAAAACAUGUUUGUGUAUCAGCAUCUUAUGUUUGUACCUCAAAAUUUCUUACAUGUUUCAAAAAUACCACCAAAGCUAUGAAUGAUAGAAUUACAGAUAAUAAGAUUCCUAAUCAAGACCAUAGUUAUAUGAUAGACAAUGAAGAAGAUUUAUCUUUUGUAAAUAUUACCAAAAAGGAAACCUAUGAUGAUGAAAAUAUUCAAACUAAGAUAGAUGUUGACUUUAAAUCAAAAUCUUUUAUGUGUUCCGAAAAUACUACCAAGGUUACAAAUGAUAGAAUGAGUACACAUAAUGAAGGGACUAAUAUUUUCAAUCAAGAUCAUAGGUAUAUGAUAUACACUGAAGAAAAUUUAUCUUGUGAAAAUGUCAAAAGAAGAUCUACGAAAAAGAAAACCUGUGAUAAUUUAAAAGAUCAGAACGAGAUUGUCAAUUCUUGAAAACCUGAGAAUUGCCAGAAAAAUAUAUGUGUGCUUACAUCUUAUAAAGAUAGUAAUAAAAUGAACCGCUAUUGUGAUUUGAAUGCAAAUAAAGAGAUUAUCCACAUUCAAAACUCUUUACAUAAAGAAAACGUAACCUGUGCAAAUACUCUCGUGACAAUAAACUCUGACAAUGAAAGUAUAACCACCAAUAAGACAGAUAAUUACAAAUGUAAUCUUAAUUCAAGGAAAAGUAUUACUCUGCACGUGUCUAGUGAUAAUAAUACCGAUAAAGACUACGUACCUACGGAACAAAGGUUUUCUUCGCAUAAAUCUACACAAAGCUACGUACAAAAUUGAACAGGUCUACAUCUUUAGUUUCAAGUUCGGACACUUUGAACACGAAUAUUGGCAAAUCGAUAUGUAACGACGAGGUCAUGUACGUUGAAACAUCUAGUACAAAAUCAACGAAAAAAAAACACAAAACUGUUGUGUUUUUUGCAACAAAUUACAAUCCCAACUUGCACGUCAUUUAGUAACAAUUCACCGUAACGAACUAGAAGUGAAAAAAUUCACUGUGUUACCUAAACGACAUCCAGAAAGGAAAAAAAUAGUGGAAACUAUUCGGAAGAAAGGAAACUUUAAAUAUAAUACACAAGCUGAACUUAAUUCUGGACAAUUAUUAAUCGUAAACAGACGUCCAAAUGAGAAAACUAAUAAAACUGCUACCGAUUUUAUAGCCUGUGUUAAAUGUAAAAGAUUUUUUUGCAAAAAGCGCAGUACGUCAUCAUGCUCGAGUUUGUCUAAACAAAAAUUUUCAAAAAGAUAGAAAUGUUUUGAUUAUGGGCAGACAAAUUACCGGAAGACUUCAUUCUAUGGCAAAUGAAACUUUAAAAAAAAUAUUUUUCCUAUUAUGCGAGAUGAUAAAGUAACACGUAUUGUGAGAUACGAUGAAUUAUUAAUUAGAUAUGCUAAUAGAAUGUGUAUAAAAUAUAAAGAAUCACAUCAGCACGAUAUCAUUCGUGCAAGGUUACGUCGGUUCUUCUUGGUCGGUUUCUUCUAGCAUUGAAGAAUAUAAAUACAAAAGUACAAGAUUUUCAGUCGGUGUAUCAUCCUCGAUUAUAUAAUGACUGUAUUUCUGCAAUAAAUAUAGUUGCAAAAUAUGAUAAUAAGACACAAGUUUAUAAAACUCCUGCAGUAGCAUCUACCUUAUCAAUUCUUCUUAAAUACUUAAGAAAUAUUCUUAUUACGGAAUGCAUUAAAGAAGAAGACAAGAAGAAAUUAGUUAAAAAUUUUGUAAAAUUACUUGGUGUGGAUGUUCGAACAAAUAAUAAAAUGGUUAAAGAACUGCAAUUUGUCCAUAAAAGACAAAAAAAUUAAUCUCCCAUCACUUGACGAUAUUAAAAAAUUACACACAUUUGACAAAAUAAAGAUUUGCAGUAUAUACAACAUUAAAAGAAUUUUUCUCAUAUGAAAAAUGGCUCACACUAGCCGAAGUUACGUUAACUUCCGUAUAUGUUUCUAAUAGACGUCGACCAGGAGAAAUAGAACGAGUAGAAAUAGAAAGUUUUAAACAUCAUGUAAAAGUAAAUAACUAUGUUUAAUGAUAUAGAUCUUUAUGAAUCUGUAUCUAUGGAAGAUAAAAGAAUUGCUGAGAAAUAUGUGCAAUUUUGCAUCAAAGGAAAACUAGGACGAGCAGUACCCGUUUUAUUGUCAAGCGAAAUGUUUGACUGUAUUACAUUACUUUUGAAAUUUCGUAUAAAAGCAAAUGUACCGGAAAAAAAUCCUUUUAUAUUUGGAUUACCUGGUUUUGACAAAAACAGAUAUCGAUAUCUUAGAGUUUGUACUUUAAUGCGCAAAUUUGUGCGUAAAUGUAACACAAGUAAGUCAAUUACUUUGCAUGGUACGAAAUUAAAACAACAUAUAGCAAAACAUUGUAUUCAACUUUAUCUGAAUGAUGAAGUUUUGGAUCGUGCGAUGAGUCAUGUAGACAAAAUACAUAAGAAACAUUACAAACAAGUAUCAAGCAGAGAUAUACUUCUUCGAUAUUUAGAAGCCGUACAAGAAAAUGAACAGAAUUCAGAAAAUGAAUCUGAAUCAGAUAGUGGCUCCGAAAAAGGAAAUACCUUAAACCAAAAUAUUCGUAAUACUGAUGAAACAGCAUGUAACUCUUUAAGUAAUUCCAUGAAGUGUACAAAGCUAACGGAUAAACAACCUGGAAAACGAAAACGUAAUAGUAUAAGUACUUUUUUUUAUUUAUUUUUAAUGUAAGUUCUUUUAUUCUAUUCUUAACUUUUCU